CCAGCUCUCUUUGCCAUUUGGCUUAGAUCAAGUGAAGUAACUGUUUUUCUUAGUUUGAUCGCUAGGAGGUGCCUACGGGUUCACCAGUGAUUGAACCAGUUUUUGGAACCUGGUCGGCGGCCUGCUGGGCUCCGCCUAUGUCGCUGGCCACAGUGUCGCUAGUAUUGCACUAUCUCUGGCUGACGCAAACCACC
rnacentral:snRNA from 1 species